GAUGAACGCUGGCGGCGUGCCUAAUACAUGCAAGUCGAGCGAACAGAUGAGGAGCUUGCUCCUCUGACGUUAGCGGCGGACGGGUGAGUAACACGUGGAUAACCUACCUAUAAGACUGGGAUAACUUCGGGAAACCGGAGCUAAUACCGGAUAAUAUCUUGAACCGCAUGGUUCAAUAGUGAAAGACGGUUUUGCUGUCACUUAUAGAUGGAUCCGCGCCGCAUUAGCUAGUUGGUAAGGUAACGGCUUACCAAGGCAACGAUGCGUAGCCGACCUGAGAGGGUGAUCGGCCACACUGGAACUGAGACACGGUCCAGACUCCUAAGGGAGGCAGCAGUAGGGAAUCUUCCGCAAUGGGCGAAAGCCUGACGGAGCAACGCCGCGUGAGUGAUGAAGGUCUUCGGAUCGUAAAACUCUGUUAUUAGGGAAGAACAAAUGUGUAAGUAACUAUGCACGUCUUGACGGUACCUAAUCAGAAAGCCACGGCUAACUACGUG
rnacentral:rRNA from 1 species